rnacentral:misc_RNA from 1 species
GAAAAAUGAUGUUUUAUCAUUGAGAAGGAAACAGGUUUAAGGUUACAUUAGGACAUGAAUUGAGUUAACAAAACUGCUUUACUAUAAAUUUCAUGAAUGUCGUAAUCACAAGACACUAGUACAAUUUCAACCUUGUAUAUUCAGCAGUCUCCAUCACGAUCCAAUGUGCUUCAGAUUUGUUCGACUACUGUAGGAGAAAAUUAUCUAUUAUAUGUUGGACAACAUCAGCACCUUCUGCAUGCAUGUAGUGGUCCUUCACCUGAAUAACACUAUGUGCAGCAAAUCUGUUCCUGCUGCUGUGAAAGCUGACAUCUAUUUUCUCCCAGGAUACCCGAGAUAAACCAGUCACCAAUUCCUCUUCUAGCUUGUCAAAUUGAUCACCUUCCUUCACAACAGACUCACCCUGC